CCACACGAGUCGGCACUGUUUCUUCAUAACUUUAUGAAAAAUGGUUAAUUUUUUCAUGAUAUUUUCUACAAAUGUCUUGCUGAGUAUGCUAAUUACGUUAUCUCAGAAUUUGAUGGGAAUAGAAAAUAAUGCUGAACAUGCGCACAUCAGUAAUGGUUUUCGAAAUUUCAAGUUUCAUUUUGUGAAUAUAUGUGACGUGUAAGUAUGUAUGUGUACCAGCCCGUCAGUUAUUUUUCUUUUUCAUUUCUGAUAUAAUCGUAAUCCACACCAUGUGAAAGGUAUUUGUUGGAAAUUUCAUGAAAAAAAUAUCAAUUAUGAAAGUUAUGAGGAAACAAAGCGGUGGAGGUAAAGAUCAUUGACCGCAUCCCCUUCAGGAUUUUUUUUUUCUACAGGAACACACUACAUCAAGGGCGGAGAUUCCGAAUCUGUCAAAAAAAAAAAACUGCAUUUCAAAAUUUUAAUUACCCCCCACCAAUUUCUUAAAUUUUCACUUUCUUAGGAAAAAAUAUUUUUUGACGAAAUACGUAGAAAAAUAUGAAGAUUAAAAAAUUGUAAAAUUUCAAUGUUUCAAAAAAAUAAUAAAUACUCCCUCCACCCUGACAGAAAGGGAAAGGUUUUGUGGGGUUUUAAAAUCUUCAAUUUUUAAGUACGCCCCAACCAGAAAUCUGACAAGCUAGAAACAGCAGCCAAACCGAGGAUCAACUUUCUAAAUACGAAUUACCAAAACAGAAAAAUAUUUUUUAAAUGUCAUUUUGUGUGUGUGUGUGCAAAAAAUCUAAUUUUUACAUACUUCUCUUAAUUUCAAAAGACCCUCAACCACAAUGUGUUGGGUUAUGUUCGUCAUGAAACAUUAGU